GUCAAAGUACUCACCACCUACACCAUAGGUGAGACUACUCAAGAGAAAGAAGUGGGCUCGCAGUGCUCGGCUAGGGAAAAGGGCUUUUGUCUUUGUUGAUGACCUAAACAUGUCUGCCAAGGAGAAAGAUGGUGCCCGGCCUCCCAUUGAACCGCCGAGGCAAUGGAUUGACCAUGGCUACAGGUUUGACAGGUGUCUUGUUCAAAAUUUCUUUCGUAAUUAUCUUCUUGCUGGAAGACUGCACUAAAUGUCAAAAUAUCUCUACAGACUCAUAAAAUGUAGCCAGUGU
rnacentral:lncRNA from 11 species